CCAAUAGCGUAUAUUAAAGUUGUUGCAGUUAAAAAGCUCGUAGUUGAAUUUCGGGAUUGGCGCAUCGGUCGUGCCUCACGGGGUAUGAACUGGUGCAGUCAAUUUCUCACCUUCUGGAGAACCGCGAUGUCCUUAAUUGGAUGCCGCGGGGAACCAGGACCUUUACUUUGAAAAAAUUAGAGUGUUUAAAGCAGGCAUUUUUGCUUGAAU
rnacentral:rRNA from 1 species